rnacentral:rRNA from 1 species
AUAAAGUUAAAACUUUCAACAACGGAUCUCUUGGCUCUCGCACCGAUGAAGAGCGCAGCGAAAUGCGAUAACUAAUGUGAAUUGCAGGCAUCGUGAAUCAUCGAGUUCUUGAACGCACAUUGCGCCCUGUGGUAUUCCGCNGGGCAUGCCUGUUUGAGCGUCGGUUC